CGCCAGUAACAAACAUGGCUCCCUGAAGCCGCUCAGGCUCAAGAGCAACAUGGGGGUCUGCACUUAAUCGCUCCUCUCCGGGGGCGGCCAUACUGAGGAGGCAUCUCUUCCGUGCAGGCAGGCUGUCCUGGGGACCUCAGAGAUUCUCUCCAGCGGCAGCGGAAAAUGGGCAAUGGGUGGAUUCGGGUCCAGAUUCUGGCAGGAGGGAGUUUGGGAUCGAGAUCUGGAAAAAAGCACUAGACUGGAAGAGGACGCGAUGGAGUCGGAGCCGCUGGCGGGGACAAAACCAGAGGCGGUGGAAGGCGCCGGUGGGAGGCAAGGCACGGAUGGACUUUACCUGCGCACGCGUCGCAGCCAUCUCCGCGCACAGUGGUGGCCACCGCGACUGGUGCUGAAGUGUCGGCGCGUGCCGGGCGCUCCGCUGGGACCGGGGUUGCUGGCCCUGAGUCUGAGCUUUCUCAUCUGUACGAUUGGGACAAGUACAGUAACCCUCGCCCGUCAAGACGGGCCAGGGCUGUCGCGAGGGUCCACGCCUUAGAGCAGGCACCUAUCUUCUGCAGGGCCCUGAGAUGGGGUCUGACUCAGUUCCUGCGGGGAACUUCACCAGUACCCAGUCAGUGCCCUUCAGUUAAAGACCACCAGGAGCACACUUGUAAUUACAUUGCAGCAAGGAAUGGGGUACUAUGGGUCAUCUCAGUGGGAGGAGUUAGAGAGAAACUAUUAUACGAUUUGGGCUUUAAUUGGUUGAUUUCGGACAGGAUCUCAGAAAGUGAAGACUUUAGAUUGGAUGCUGUCAGAAAGCAGGAGCAAUAUGAUUAUUAAGUAUUUUGUGGGUGGCAUCAAGACCUUGUUUUUUAUCUGCACUUAGACAACAUUAUAAAGUGCCCUUGUUUUUGUUUGCACUUAUCACGGUCUCAGAUUAACCUUCUGAAGUUGAUAUUCUGUGAGAUUGUUUAUGUCCAACAGGAAAACAAAAUGUCCUGGCCAUGAGCAUCAGACUAGCGUGUAAUAACAUUAAGGCCUGUGACCCAAAUAUUGACAGAAUUGAAGUUAGAAAUAGUUCUACAGUAAUAGAGUCUUCAAUACUCCAUUUAAAAUAAUGCAUAGAAGCUGGACAUGGUGGCUCAUGCCUUUAAUCUCAGCUACCUGGGAGGCUGCGGCAGGUGGAUUGCUUGAGGUCAGGCGUUCGAGACCAGCCUGGGCCUUUUGGCCUGUCUCGGCUUUUAACAUACCUUCCUCACUCAGCUUAAUCAUUUCUCACUUUAGAUUUAUAAUAAGAGAUGUGUGACUCUUACUUUCACUUGAACACAGAGGCCUUUAUAGAGUUAUUAAUUGGCCUAAUUUCAAUAUUGCUGUGUCUCAGAAAACAGACCUGAGGAGAGGGGGAGAUGGAGGAAGGGCAGAUCGAUGGAACCAUUCGAAUACACAUAGGUAUCAAUUAAGCUCAUUGUCUUUUGGACCAUGGCUUGUGAUGCCCCAAAACAAUGACAAUAGUAAUAUCAAUGAUCACUGAUAACAGAUCACCAUAACAGAUAUAAUAAUAACAAAACAUUUGAAAUACUACAAGAAUUACAAAGAUGUAACACAGAGGUGCAAAAUAAGCACAUGCUACCAGAAAAGUGGCACUGGUAGACUUGCUUGGUGCACGGUUGCUACAAACCUUCAACCUGUAAAAACUGCAAUAUCUGAGAAGCAUAAUAAAGUGAAGUGC
rnacentral:lncRNA from 1 species